CCUGGCUCAGGAUGAACGCUAGCGGCAGGCCUAAUACAUGCAAGUCGAGGGGUAAAUAUGUAGCAAUAUAUAUGAGACCGGCGCACGGGUGCGUAACACGUAUGCAACCUACCUUUUACUGGGGAAUAGCUCAGAGAAAUCUGAAUUAAUACCCCAUAAUAUUAUGAAAUGGCAUCUAUUUUAUAAUUAAAGCUCCGGCGGUAAAAGAUGGGCAUGCGGAACAUUAGCUAGUUGGUGAGGUAAUGGCUCACCAAGGCUACGAUGUUUAGGGGGUCUGAGAGGAUGACUCCCCCACACUGGUACUGAGACACGGACCAGACUCCUACGGGAGGCAGCAGUAGGGAAUAUUGGGCAAUGGACGAAAGUCUGACCCAGCCAUGCCGCGUGCAGGAUGACUGUCCUAUGGAUUGUAAACUGCUUUUAUAUGGGAAGAAACCCUUGGAUGCGUCCGAGGCUGACGGUACCAUAUGAAUAAGGAUCGGCUAACCUCGUG
rnacentral:rRNA from 1 species